rnacentral:ncRNA from 1 species
UUGGUCCUAAACUUGCCAUUGUUUUUAAUAAAAAUUACACAUGCAAGCUUCAACACACCAGUGAAAAUGCCCACACACUCCUAAACAGCUUACAGGAGCAGGUAUCAGGAACAACCAAAUGUUUGCCUAAAACACCUUGCUACGCCACACCCACACGGGCCUUCAGCAGUGAAUAAUAUUAAGAGAUAAGCGAAAGCUUGACUUAGUUAUUAUUAAUAUGGUCGGUAAAUUUCGUGCCAGCCACCGCGGUUAUACGAAAGACCAAAAACAAUUUGCCAACGGCGUAAAGAGUGACUAAAUUAACCCAAUAUUUAAAGGAGAGCUGCAACAAAGUUGUAAAAUACUACUGAUUGCAGGAACCACAACAAUAAGUGCCUUUAAACACUUGACCUCACGAAAGCUAAGAAACAAACUGGGAUUAGAUACCCCACUAUGCUUAGCCGUAAACAAAAACAGUACAAAUACAAUACUGUUCGCCAGAGAACUACAAGCCAAAACUCGAAACUCCAAGGACUUGGCGGUGCUCCACAUCGACCUAGAGGAGCCUGUCCUAUAAUCGAUACCCCCCGAUCUACCUCACCCCUUUUUGAAACUCAGCCUAUAUACCGCCGUCGUCAGCCUACCUUAUGAAAGAAAUAAAGUAAGCAAAACAGUUAUUAACUAAAACGUCAGGUCAAGGUGUAGCUUAUAAAGCGGAAGAGAUGGGCUACACUCUCUUAUCCAGAGAACACGAACAGCAUCAAUGAAAUCAGUGCUUAAAGGUGGAUUUAGCAGUAAGAUAGACAAGAGAGCCUAUCUAAAACCAGCCCUGGAGCGCGCACACACCGCCCGUCACCCUCAUCA